AACGCUAGCUACAGGCUUAACACAUGCAAGUCGAGGGGCAGCGGGAUUGAAGCUUGCUUCAAUUGCCGGCGACCGGCGCACGGGUGAGUAACGCGUAUCCAACCUUCCGCUUACUCGGGGAUAGCCUUUCGAAAGAAAGAUUAAUACCCGAUGGUAUCUUAAGCACGCAUGAGAUUAAGAUUAAAGAUUUAUCGGUAAGCGAUGGGGAUGCGUUCCAUUAGGCAGUUGGCGGGGUAACGGCCCACCAAACCUACGAUGGAUAGGGGUUCUGAGAGGAAGGUCCCCCACAUUGGAACUGAGACACGGUCCAAACUCCUACGGGAGGCAGCAGUGAGGAAUAUUGGUCAAUGGGCGAGAGCCUGAACCAGCCAAGUAGCGUGAAGGAUGACGGCCCUACGGGUUGUAAACUUCUUUUGUGCGGGAAUAAAGGAACCUACGUGUAGGUUUUUGCAUGUACCGUAACGAAUAAGCAUCGGCUAACUCCGUGCCAGCAGCCGCGGUAAUACGGAGGAUCCGAGCGUUAUCCGGAUUUAUUGGGUUUAAAGGGAGCGUAGGCGGACGCUUAAGUCAGUUGUGAAAGUUUGCGGCUCAACCGUAAAAUUGCAGUUGAUACUGGGUGUCUUGAGUACAGUAGAGGCAGGCGGAAUUCGUGGUGUAGCGGUGAAAUGCUUAGAUAUCACGAAGAACUCCGAUUG
rnacentral:rRNA from 1 species